UAUAGAGAGUUCCUCUACAUGCUAAAGCUGCUUGCUGGGAAAGGUUUAAAAUAGAAAUAAGGGGUGAAUAUUCUAAUCUGUGAUGUUCUUCCGUGACUUGUUGUUGUUAUUAUAUGACAAAGACGUAAAUAUGUCAAUGAGCAGUGGUGUCGUAAGAGACAGGGCUAUCAGCACCAGCAGUUAGCAUUGACAGUCAAUGGCUAAGAGUGCUUUCCCAGUGCUCUGCUCUACCCUCUUCUCUCCAAGCUCCCUCCCGUGUGGUCUGCAGACACCAUCAACAGCCUUCUUGUGUAGCUACAUGAGAGCCUGCAUGAGAUUCCUGGUUAGCUGGUACCCACCACCAACCAAGUUUAAAGUGUUCCAACAGCUAAACACUGGAACCAACAGUCUGGAGAAAAUCUCUCUUCUUCUUUAACAAUCAAUCAAUCAGCCCCCCGUCCUCCUCCUCAUCUGUGAAUAAAGAUUUCAGCUGCUGGUUGUCUGGUGGGGAAAAAAAAUUAACAAAUAAAUGUGGAGAUGAAAAAAAUUGAUCAUAAAACUGAAUGCAU